AAAGGUUGAUCUAGUAGGCACAGCAAACACAUACUUGGACACGCUUGGACUUAUAAAUGUAAUUAAGUAGCCAUACGUUAGUUAAAAGUCCCCAGCGACCGCUACAAAACUAUCCAUGAAGUUCUGACAAAGCUGUAAAUCUACACCGCUCGGAGAUCUCUGUAACAACAGUAAACGCCUACCGUCGUACCACAAAGAUGCCAUGCCUUGAAGAUUUCGAAGAUUACAUGCAAGUCACAAUAAUAUUCGAGCGGCCAAAGUAUAAAUCGAUGUCGAUUUACCGAAUGGAAUUGCCAAGAGAUGCACCCCUGUCGGAGUUGAAGUAUAUUUUGCAACCAAAGUUGAAAACAGAAACAACAAGACAAGUAUGGCAGUACAAGGGUACUGAACUUGACAACGACUCUACCCUAUGGAACAGUGAAGUCCGAGAAAACGACAAAAUAGUUGUUAAGGUUCUUACGUGAUGGUAUAUGACUGGGUUUUUUAUCACUGUGAUGGUGUGUACCGCAGAGCUUAAAGUAUACGGGAAAUUAAUUGCUUUGUUAACUAUUUUACCUAUGUACAUUUUUUUUUAAAAAUGCCUUUUUGAAAAUAAAUAUUUCACAAUUUUA